rnacentral:rRNA from 1 species
UGGGGAAUAUUGCGCAAUGGAGGAAACUCUGACGCAGCCACGCCGCGUGGUGGAAGACACCCCUAUGGGGCGUAAACACCUUUUAUGUGGGAAGAAGGCUCUCCUCAGGAGGGUUUGACGGUACCACAUGAAUAAGCACCGGCUAACUCCGUGCCAGCAGCCGCGGUAAUACGGAGGGUGCAAGCGUUGUCCGGAAUCACUGGGUGUAAAGGGUGUGUAGGCGGACCUGUAAGUCAGAGGUGAAAGUCUGCGGCUUAACCGUAGAAUUGCCUUUGAUACUGCUGGUCUUGAGUCCCGGAGAGGUUGCUGGAAUUCGUGGUGUAGCGGUGAAAUGCGUAGAUAUCACGAGGAACACCAGAGGCGUAGGCGAGCAACUGGACGGGUACUGACGCUGAGGCACGAAAGCGUGGGGAGCAAACA